UACAGAGGGUGCGAGCGUUAAUCGGAAUAACUGGGCGUAAAGGGCGCGUAGGUGGUUGAUUAAGAUUGAUGUGAAAUCCCUGGGCUUAACCUAGGAAUGGCAUCGAUGACUGAUGAGCUUGAGUAUUGUAGAGGGUAGUGGAAUUUCCGGUGUAGCGGUGAAAUGCGUAGAGAUCGGAAGGAACACCGGUGGCGAAGGCGGCUACCUGGACAAAUACUGACACUGAGGCGCGAGAGCGUGGGGAGCAAACAGG
rnacentral:rRNA from 1 species